rnacentral:lncRNA from 1 species
AUGCUGGGAAGCUCACCUACAUAGACACAAAAUACGUGGUACAUGUGAAGAGUCCCCAGGUCACAUCAAAAGCAUUCCAACAUGACACAUGGAAUUCUGGGCUAACAGUUGCUUCCAUCUCUACAGGGCACCUUACUUCUGCAACAGAGGAGACAUUGGACUUUUAUUGGGAAUGAUCGUCUUUGCUGUUAUGUUGUCAAUUCUUUCUUUGAUUGGGAUAUUUAACAGAUCAUUCCGAACUGGAUUAAAAGAAGGAUCUUAUUGUUAAUACCAAAGUGGCUUUAUGAAGAUAUUCCUAAUAUGAAAAACAGCAAUGUUGUGAAAAUGCUACAGAAAAUAGUGAACUUAUGAAUAAUAAUUCCAGUGAGCAGGUCCUAUAUGUUGAUCCCAUGAUUACAGAGAUAAAAGAAAUCUUCAUCCCAGAACACAAGC